rnacentral:rRNA from 1 species
AGAGUUUGAUUCUGGCUCAGAACGAACGCUGGCGGCGCGUUUAAGCAUGCAAGUCGAGCGGCAAGGGCCUUCGGGCCCCUAGAGCGGCGGACGGGUGAGUAACACGUGGACAAUCUGCCCCCCGGCCCGGGAUAGCCCAGGGAAACCUGGAUUAAUACCGGAUGAGACGGGACCCGCGAUGGCGGGAUCCGGGAAAGGCGCUGCGGCGCCGCCGGGGGAUGAGUCUGCGUCCCAUUAGCUAGACGGCGGGGUAACGGCCCACCGUGGCGACGAUGGGUAGCCGGCCUGAGAGGGUGGACGGCCACAUUGGAACUGAGACACGGUCCAGACUCCUACGGGAGGCAGCAGCUAAGAAUCUUCCGCAAUGGGCGAAAGCCUGACGGAGCCGACGCCGCGUGAACGAAGAAGGCCGUGAGGUUGUAAAGUUCUUUUCGGGAGGGGGAACAACCGUGGCAGGGAAUGGCCGCGGGAUGACGUGAAUCCCGGAAUAAGCCCCGGCUAACUACGUGCCAGCCGCCGC